UGGGGAAUUUUGGACAAUGGGCGAAAGCCUGAUCCAGCCAUGCCGCGUGAGUGAAGAAGGCCUUCGGGUUGUAAAGCUCUUUUAUUCGGAAAGAAAGAGUUGCAAUGAAUAAUUGUGAUUUAUGACGGUACCGACAGAAAAAGCACCGGCUAACUACGUGCCAGCAGCCGCGGUAAUACGUAGGGUGCGAGCGUUAAUCGGAAUUACUGGGCGUAAAGGGUGCGCAGGCGGUUUUGCAAGUCAGAUGUGAAAGCCCCGGGCUUAACCUGGGAAUUGCGUUUGAAACUACAAGGCUAGAGUGCAGCAGAGGGGAGUGGAAUUCCAUGUGUAGCAGUGAAAUGCGUAGAGAUGUGGAAGAACACCGAUGGCGAAGGCAGCUCCCUGGGUUGACACUGACGCUCAUGCACGAAAGCGUGGGGAGCAAACA
rnacentral:rRNA from 1 species